GAUGAACGCUGACAGAAUGCUUAACACAUGCAAGUCUACUUGAAGCUAACUUCGGUUAGUGGAUGGUGGCGGACGGGUGAGUAACGCGUAAAGAACUUGCCUCACAGUUUGGGACAACAUUUGGAAACGAAUGCUAAUACCGGAUAUUAUGAUACUUCUGCAUGGAAGAAUCAUGAAAGCUAUAUGCGCUGUGAGAGAGCUUUGCGUCCCAUUAGCUAGUUGGAGAGGUAACGGCUCACCAAGGCGAUGAUGGGUAGCCGGCCUGAGAGGGUGAACGGCCACAAGGGGACUGAGGCACGGCCCUUACUCCUACGGGAGGCAGCAGUGGGGAAUAUUGGACAAUGGACCAAAAGUCUGAUCCAGCAAUUCUGUGUGCACGAUGAAGUUUUUCGGAAUGUAAAGUGCUUUCAGUUGGGAAGAAGCAAGUGACGGUACCAACAGAAGAAGCGACGGCUAAAUACGUGCCAGCAGCCGCGGUAAUACGUAUGUCGCAAGCGUUAUCCGGAUUUAUUGGGCGUAAAGCGCGUCUAGGUGGUUAUAUAAGUCUGAUGUGAAAAUGCGGGGCUCAACUCCGUAUUGCGUUGGAAACUGUAUGACUAGAGUACUGGAGAGGUAAGCGGAACUACAAGUGUAGAGGUGAAAUUCGUAGAUAUUUGUAGGAAUGCCGAUGGGGAAGCCAGCUUACUGGACAGAUACUGACGCUAAAGCGCGAAAGCGUGGGUAGCAAACAGG
rnacentral:rRNA from 1 species